CAAAUCUCAAAAUUUCAAUAACAUACCAAGCUAAACAAGCCAAUCCAAAAGGAAGGAGAGGUCUACAAAAAUUAUCCACACAAGCAGCAACCUAGUCCUGAACUCCAUACUGUUUCCUUCUAUUUGCCUUCUCCCACCUUCUUUCUCCUUCUCUACUCCCAUGCAUCUACUAUUGUUCUUUUAGUCCUCUUUCCAUCAGGCAUCAGCAUUGAAGAUGGACAUUGAAUCAGUGAGGUGUGCGUGCUGUGGCCUGGAAGAGGAUUGCACCCAGGAAUACAUAGAGAAUGUCAAGGCAAACUUCGGAGGGAAAUGGCUUUGUGGCUUAUGCUCAGAGGCGGUAGGGGAUGAGCUCAGUAAAGACAGAAGAGAACAGGAUGGCAUCGAAGAUGCUAUCAAAGCUCAUAUGGCAUUCUGCAGGAUGGCACUAUCAAGCCCUGCAGUCAAGGUGGCGGAUGGCAUGAAGGAGAUGCUCAGAAAGAGGUCAAAGGAUAAGGUAAAGCCUGAAAUACCAUCAAAAGCACACCCAUUCUUACUUGGUGACAAUUGACAAGGUUCCAAAGCGAAGAACAUCAGAAUUAUGCUUUUAGAUAAGGGUGUGACUGAUGUUAUCCUGUGUUCUUCUUCGCCACUCGAGAAUAUUUACUCAGAGGUUUGUUUCUCACCUAAUUGAUUUUGAUGAUCUAUGAUGAAAAUUAAUAAUGACAAGUGAUCACUUUUAUUCCACCAACUAGAGACUAGUUAUGGUUCAGUGUCUUACAUUCUUAAAAUCAUUGAACAAAUUGGCCUAAGAUUGUCACUGUGCAACUAUUCAUGUACAAAUACCCCAGGGAGAAUCUAUCAGCAACAUGUACAAAUAGAGUGAAGAAAUAUAAAUAGAAUUAGGUACUCUACCA